UGGGGAAUAUUGGGCAAUGGGCGCAAGCCUGACCCAGCGACGCCGCGUGAAGGAAGAAGGUUUUCGGAUUGUAAACUUCUGUCGACAGGGACGAAACAAAUGACGGUACCUGUUGAGAAAGCCACGGCUAACUACGUGCCAGCAGCCGCGGUAAUACGUAGGUGGCAAGCGUUAUCCGGAUUUACUGGGUGUAAAGGGUGUGUAGGCGGGAUUGCAAGUCAGAAGUGAAAAUUAUGGGCUCAACCCAUAACCUGCUUUUGAAACUGUAAUUCUUGAGAGUCGGAGAGGUAGGCGGAAUUCCCGGUGUAGCGGUGAAAUGCGUAGAGAUCGGGAGGAACACCAGUGGCGAAGGCGGCCUACUGGACGACAACUGACGCUGAGGCACGAAAGCGUGGGGAUCAAACAGG
rnacentral:rRNA from 2 species